rnacentral:lncRNA from 1 species
UUGUCGUACUAGGUGGUUGGACGAGCUGCUUCCCCCGGAUGCCGCCUCCCGCUGUUCCCGAGUGGGUAUCGUGGUUACGGAGCUGCCAUUACUACAGCCAGUCAAGGUAUGUACGGCACAUCGUACUUUCGUCACAGCUCUCGCACACCAAUAACCAAACCACAACUGGAUGGUGGCAUCGGAAGACACUGAAGAGUUUUGUCUGCUUAAAUAGCGGGGGAUGCAGCCAUCCCAUGAAUUGUACAGCCUGUUCCGAAAUGGCGCGGUCCAGUCCUGGAAUGGCGUACCGUUGACCUUGCUUCCAAUCGAUGACGGGGCUCCACGAGCCAGGGACCAGCGUCCCAGUCAUAGCCUGUGCUACGACCCCCGCCCAUACUUCUGCAAGUAUGGACUUCCGCCUGAGGCGGCGUUUACCUGUAGGCAUCCAUGACAGCAUCCCGCUUGCUGUCUGACCCAGAUGUUGGAGCCAUAGAUCUGACAGAAAGGCGGCAAAAUAGGCAGUUGGAAUUCAGUUAGUUCCUGCGAACUUGUCCAGCAGAACUUGUCCAGCAACCGUGCUAAGCGAGAAAGGAAAAACUAGACAGAAGAUGUAUCAGUUUGGGACCGAUUUAAGAAGCGGAAUACAACAACUAUCCCCCUGUAGUAGCUGGCUGCUGAAAAGGCCUCUCGAGAUGCUGGUGGUCGCGCUACGCACGUAUUUGUAGAGCCGUACUGUGUACCAGCUGCUACACCCCCCCUUUUGGAUGCAGCAUCCUCAAUGAAUGGUAAGAAACUAGCAAAGCAGAAUCGGGCCAAAAAGUGUGGGAGUUAAACACUUACCUUUAACCUGCAAAUCUUACCUCGCCCGUGCUUGUUGCCGUGCUUCUUCCAGCAGAGGUUUCAGAUCAGGGGUAAAGUUAGCUUCUGGUUCCCAACUGUUGUGCUCAGCUGAGUACCCAGCCCAGUUGACGAGAUACUCAUGCACAGUGCGCUUACAGUGGCGGUUUCUGCCUACUUUUUAGGAACGGUAACUGAGUACCCGUUCAAGCACGUAAAAUGUCUACUUAUCUGAAAGCCAAGUAAUGGGUCCUGGCUCUUGUCACGCCAUAUGACGUGCUAACAAACAUAAGAAAUGCGGAUGGAUCACAGUAGGAGCAGGUUUUGGCUGAAGCGCAUGGCAAAAUAGGCAGUUGGAAUUCAGUUAGUUCCUGCGAACUUGUCCAGCAGAACUUGUCCAGCAACCGUGCUAAGCGAGAAAGGAAAAACUAGACAGAAGAUGUAUCAGUUUGGGACCGAUUUAAGAAGCGGAAUACAACAACUAUCCCCCUGUAGUAGCUGGCUGCUGAAAAGGCCUCUCGAGAUGCUGGUGGUCGCGCUACGCACGUAUUUGUAGAGCCGUACUGUGUACCAGCUGCUACACCCCCCCUUUUGGAUGCAGCAUCCUCAAUGAAUGGUAAGAAACUAGCAAAGCAGAAUCGGGCCAAAAAGUGUGGGAGUUAAACACUUACCUUUAACCUGCAAAUCUUACCUCGCCCGUGCUUGUUGCCGUGCUUCUUCCAGCAGAGGUUUCAGAUCAGGGGUAAAGUUAGCUUCUGGUUCCCAACUGUUGUGCUCAGCUGAGUACCCAGCCCAGUUGACGAGAUACUCAUGCACAGUGCGCUUACAGUGGCGGUUUCUGCCUACUUUUUAGGAACGGUAACUGAGUACCCGUUCAAGCACGUAAAAUGUCUACUUAUCUGAAAGCCAAGUAAUGGGUCCUGGCUCUUGUCACGCCAUAUGACGUGCUAACAAACAUAAGAAAUGCGGAUGGAUCACAGUAGGAGCAGGUUUUGGCUGAAGCG